rnacentral:rRNA from 1 species
GAUGAACGCUAGCGGGAGGCCUAACACAUGCAAGCCGAGCGGUAUUGUUUCUUCGGAAAUGAGAGAGCGGCGUACGGGUGCGGAACACGUGUGCAACCUGCCUUUAUCUGGGGGAUAGCCUUUCGAAAGGAAGAUUAAUACUCCAUAACAUAUUGAACGGCAUCGUUUAAUAUUGAAAGCUCCGGCGGAUAGAGAUGGGCACGCGCAAGAUUAGCUAGUUGGUGAGGUAACGGCUCACCAAGGCGAUGAUCUUUAGGGGGCCUGAGAGGGUGAUCCCCCACACUGGUACUGAGACACGGACCAGACUCCUACGGGAGGCAGCAGUGAGGAAUAUUGGUCAAUGGGUGCAAGCCUGAACCAGCCAUCCCGCGUGAAGGACGACUGCCCUAUGGGUUGUAAACUUCUUUUGUAUAGGGAUAAACCUACCCUCGUGAGGGAGCUGAAGUACUAUACGAAU